rnacentral:piRNA from 1 species
UNGGAAGAGUUUUCAGAGACCAGGCAGGA